AAUCGGUCCCCUCGCAAUGAUAGAUAGCGAACCCCGCCAGGCCCGGAAGGGAGCAACGGUAGUUAUUGACUCGUGUGCCGGGGUGCGGCUGCUUGGA
rnacentral:SRP_RNA from 1 species